AGUGAACGCUGGCGGUAGGCCUAACACAUGCAAGUCGAACGGCAGCACAGUAAGAGCUUGCUCUUACGGGUGGCGAGUGGCGGACGGGUGAGGAAUACAUCGGAAUCUACUUUUUCGUGGGGGAUAACGUAGGGAAACUUACGCUAAUACCGCAUACGACCUACGGGUGAAAGCAGGGGAUCUUCGGACCUUGCGCGAUUGAAUGAGCCGAUGUCGGAUUAGCUAGUUGGCGGGGUAAAGGCCCACCAAGGCGACGAUCCGUAGCUGGUCUGAGAGGAUGAUCCGGCACAAUUGAACUGAGAAACGGUCCCGACUCCCUAGGGAAGCCGCAGUUGGGAAAAUUUGACCAUGGGGGGAAGCCUGAUCCAGGCAUACCGGGUGGGUUAAAAAAGGCUUUGGGGUUGAAAACCCCUUUUUUGGGGAAGAAAAGCCGGCGGUUAAAAACCCGCUGUUCUGACGGUACCCAAAGAAUAAGCACCGGCUAACUUCGUG
rnacentral:rRNA from 1 species